UACGUAGGGGGCAAGCGCUGUCCGGAAUUAUUGGGCGAAAAGCGCGCGCAGGCGGUUACUUAAGUCUUAUGUGAAAGCCCACGGCUCAACCGUGGAGGGUCAUUGGAAACUGGUGAACUUGAGGAAAGAAGAGGAGAGUGGAAUUCCACGUGUAGCGGUGAAAUGCGUAGAUAUGUGGAGGAACACCAGUGGCGAAGGCGACUCUCUGGUCUGUUUCUGACGCUGAGGUGCGAAAGCGUGGGUAGCAAACAGG
rnacentral:misc_RNA from 1 species